UACAGAGGGUGCGAGCGUUGUUCGGAAUUACUGGGCGUAAAGCGCGCGCAGGCGGUCCUUCAAGUCAGAGGUGAAAGCCCAGAGCUCAACUCUGGAAUGGCCUUUGAGACUAGAGGACUUGGGUACGGGAGAGGUGAGUGGAAUUCCGAGUGUAGAGGUGAAAUUCGUAGAUAUUCGGAAGAACACCAGUGGCGAAGGCGGCUCACUGGCCCGUUACCGACGCUCAGGCGCGACAGCGUGGGGAGCAAACAGG
rnacentral:rRNA from 1 species